UUUGUGUGUGCCAUAUCAGUAAAUAUCAUCAGGAUAUAAUUUUAUCUGGCAAAAUGAUUGUCCUGUUAUACAUGUAUAUUGUAUUGAAAAAAAAAGAAAGAAUAUUUUCAAUCUACAACUAUAUAUUUUUUUUUAACCAGCGGACUGUGCAUAUUCAAAGCACUAAUAGUUUUGCUUACUGCUUGAUAUCUGUAGGUAUUUUACCCUCAGAAACCACUGUAUAUAUUGCUAUAUUGUCUUAAUUUGGUAAUAAGGGAUGUCCAAUUUAAGAUCCAUCAUCCCCCUGUUGCAUGAUCAUACAUGUCUAAAAAUUUGCUUUAACACUUCAAAAAUCUAAUUUCAAAUUAAAUUGCACAUUUUGAGCAAUGUAUCUGCUGGGGACAAAAAUGGCCCUUGCAACAAUAUUAUAAAGGAAUAGAAGUUAUUUACCAAACUGAGAGUUAUCUUUCUUAUCAGAGGACAGUGAACCUUAAAUCAUAACUAAAAAAAAUAUAGACAAGUGCAAAUUGAUUAUUUUUAUAUCAAUUUUCCAAAUUUAUCAGAAUGUGAUUUUAAGUAUUUUUCGGACAGCCAAGGCUGACGUCAUUAGUUAUUACGCUGCAGCCUGGAGUACACUGAAGUCCUUUACUGCACUUCAUUUCUUGAGAUCAAAUCCCUUGCUGUCAUACAGAUCACUGCUGCCUUUGGUUUACAAUAAAUGUAGUGAACUCACACAAGUCUUAUCACUUGGUAACAAAAAGAACAGAAUUGUUAAAAACUUUAAUCACUAAAUACUUGUACGUUCUUGAUGGAAAAGGGUAUCUGUGAUUGGUAUAUACUCAUAUUACUGUGAUGAUGUUUAUUUUAGGAAAUUUGUUGAUAAGUUUAUCAUUUUUAAUCACUGUACAUUAUCUAUUUUAAUUGAUAAACAGCAUUUUUAAUUAUCUUUAAGGAGUCGCUGGUCGACGGUAUUUUUAUUUUUAUUUGUUGAUGUUCAUGUUACCAUAAAUAUUGGUAUCUUGUGCAUUGAAUAAAACCAGUAAAAAUGUUUAUUAAUAGAAAUACUUCCAAGAAUUGUUCUUUUGGAUUAUGUUUGAGUGUAACAUCAUAUUUAAAUGAGAUAUUACACAACUGGAGAAUUAAUUUUUUGUAAAAUUAACAACUACAUUUGGAUAACUUUUUGUAUUUAGCAGGGUUAAACUAUAUCGUGCUAUCCAGUUUCCAAUCAUACAUUCCAGAUCAACAUCAUUUUCAUUUGUUUCGUAUUUACAGUUUUUAGAAUAAAAUUGUUUAUCACAUG